rnacentral:rRNA from 1 species
UGGGGAAUUUUUGGACAAUGGGCGAAAGCCUGAUCCAGCCAUGCCGCGUGAGUGAAGAAGGCCUUCGGGUUGUAAAGCUCUUUCGGUGGGGAAGAAAUGGUUUGUGCUAAUACCGCAAACUGAUGACGGUACCCGAAGAAGAAGCACCGGCUAACUACGUGCCAGCAGCCGCGGUAAUACGGGGGGGGCAAGCGUUGUUCGGAAUUACUGGGCGUAAAGGGCGCGCAGGCGGGCAGGAAAGUCUCUCGUGAAAUCCCACGGCUCAACCGUGGAAUUGCGGGAGAUACUCCUUGUCUUGAGUUCGGGAGAGGAGUGUGGAAUUCCCAGUGUAGCGGUGAAAUGCGUAGAUAUUGGGAGGAACACCGGUGGCGAAGGCGGCACUCUGGACCGAUACUGACGCUGAGGCGCGAAAGCUAGGGGAGCAAACGGGAUUAGAUACCCCGGUAGUCCUGGCUGUAAACGAUGAGCACUUGGUGUAGCGGGUAUCGACCCCUGCUGUGCCGAAGCUAACGCAUUAAGUGCUCCGCCUGGGGAGUACGGUCGCAAGGCUG